GAUGAACGCUGGCGGCGUGCCUAAUACAUGCAAGUCGAGCGGACAGACGAUGAGCUUGCUCCUCGGACGUUAGCGGCGGACGGGUGAGUAACACGUGUAUAACCUACCUAUAAUACUGGUAUAACUUCGGGAAACCGGAUCUAAUACCGGAUAAUAUAUUGAACCACAGGGUUGAAUAGUGAAAUACGGUUUUGCUGUCACUUAUAGAUGGAUCCGGGCCGUAUGAGCUAGUUGUUAAGGUAACGGCCUACCAAGGCAAGGAUGCGUAGCCGACGUGAGAGGGUGAUCGGCGACCCUGGAACUGGGACACGGUCAAGGCGCCUACGGGAGGCCGCAGUAGGGAAUCUUACGCAACAGGGGAAAGCUUGACGCAGCGACGCGGAGUGAGUGAUGAAGGUGUUCGGAUCGUAAAACUCUGUUAUUAGGGAAGAACAAAUGUGUAAGUAACUAUGCACGUAUUGACGGUAACUAAUAAGAAAGCAACGGCUAACUACGUG
rnacentral:rRNA from 1 species